UACAGAGGUCUCAAGCGUUGUUCGGAUUCAUUGGGCGUAAAGAGCUCGUAGGCGGUUUGUCGCGUCUGCUGUGAAAACUCAGGGCUUAACCCUGAGCCUGCAGUGGGUACGGGCAGACUAGAGUGUGGUAGGGGAGAUCGGAAUUCCUGGUGUAGCGGUGGAAUGCGCAGAUAUCAGGAGGAACACCGGUGGCGAAGGCGGAUCUCUGGGCCAUAACUGACGCUGAGGAGCGAAAGCAUGGGGAGCGAACAGG
rnacentral:rRNA from 1 species